rnacentral:lncRNA from 1 species
AAUCAAGUGCAACAUACUUCAGUAAGUAAUCAGCCUGUCGGAUAAUUGUGAACGUCAAAGGCAUAUCUAAAAACUUGAUCGGCAACAAAAGAUAGUUUAUUGAUAAGCAUGUCGUGUAAGAAGCAAAUGGCAUUUAAACAAUAAAAUCUAAAACAGGCAGUUCUUGAUAAGUAAUUAGCUAGCUCAGUUAGUAGAGUAAUUACUACUUUACUAUGAAGUUCCUGGUUCAUGCGAGUAUCUAGCAUCUGGUCCUGAUUGUAUUUAUGUAAACUGCUGAUACCG